CAUGGUCUUGGUCUUGAACCUCCUAUUACCUCUAACCCCAAAUUAUACAUGCAAGCCUCACCACAACAGUGAAAUAGCCCACCACAACCCACAUGGAGCCGGUAUCAGACACAACCAACGACACCAAGCAAAAGCCACACCCCCACGGGCCAACAGCAGUAACUAACAUUAGGCCAUAAGUGCCCAAACUUGACCUAGCAAGGGGCCAUUACCAGGGCCGGUUAAUCUCGUGCCAGCGACCGCGGUUACACGACAGACCCAAGAUAAUAGUAUCGGCGUAAAGCACGACUAAAUAGCAGUACACCAUAUUCGGGAUAAACUAAACCGGGCUGUAAAAAGCCAUAAGACACAUGAACCACACCCCCAAUACUCAAACCACUUCAACUCGUGAAAAUAGGAAUACAAACUAAGAUUAGAUACCUUACUAUGCCUAACCUAACAUACAAUAAAAUAACCAAUUGUUCGCCAAACAACUACGAGUAAAAACUUAAAACUUAAAAGACUUGACGGUACUUCACACCACCCUAGAGGAGCCUGUCUAAUAACCGAUACUCCACGAUUAACCCAACCCCCCCUAGCCAAACAGUCUAUAUACCGCCAUCGCCAGCUUACCUUGUGAAAGAAACAAAGUAAACACAACAGCACCACUAAUACGAUAGGUCGAGGUGUAACUAAUGGGCGGGAAAAAGAUGGGCUACAUUUUCUAACACAGAAAACACGAAUAGACUAUGAAAAUAGAAACCGAAGGCGGAUUUAGAAGUAUGAUAAGGACAAAAUACUUAACCGAAAUAAAAGCAAUGAAGUGCGUACACACCGCCCGUCAUCCCUGUCAAAAACAACAAAAUUCCAUAAACACAUAAAAUAUACUAAACAGGGCAAGUCGUAACAUGGUAAGCGUACUGGAAAGUGCGCUUAGAAA
rnacentral:ncRNA from 1 species